CACCCGGAGUAAACCCACGCGGUCACCGGGAGAACGUCCAAACUCCGUGCAGACGGCACCCAUAAUCAUGACCUCUGGCACUGUAAGGCAGCUGCUCUACCGUUCGGUGAAAACACAGGAGUGAACCUACAUUUCAACCGGGCCAAAGGUGUUUGUUUGCUCAAGGAUCCUAGCGUUUGCAGAGAUAUCGGAGGGGCAACAUGAAAUAAACGAAUUGUUGCCAGAUCUCACCUCAAGUCAAGUCCCUGAACUGGUAUGCCGAUGAUUUAAGUUGCUGUGGUGUUUACAUAGCUCACUAUAUAAAACAAGCACCGGUUACUAUAUUUUUAUUUCCCCCUCGCCCUGUCUGCCAGGGAAGGCGUAAAGUCACUGCUUGCCAGGGAGGGAGCUCUCUUGCAUCCCCUUGUGGCCAGGACGCGAAUUAAAUAGGCGAAACUGAAUUUCCCUUCACCUCCCCUCGUGAGCGAUUCAUAAAACGACAGAAUGCCAACUGGUCUUACAUUAGAAAAGACGUUAGAGCUGUGCUUAUGCAUCUAUUAAGGAUAGUAAAAUAAAGGAAACAAUUGAGAAGUAAUGGACUGCAAUUCAAUACAGAACAAUUUUCACCAGAGGGUGAAUUCUAGCACUCAAAGCAUCAUCAAUUAGCCUGAGAACACGUUCCUUCACAGAGUGUGACGCAAAAUGCACCACAUCACAUACAAGGGUGGAAAUAGCAUAAAAACAGGAGAGGUGGGAGUAGGAACUGGCCGGAAAGCCACUUGGUACCUGCUUCAUCAUCCAACAAGAUUGUGGGUGGUCUAGUCUUGACCCAGAAAACCAAUUUUUCCCAUGCCCCUCUACUUCAGUGUAAUUCAAAUCCGAGUGGAACCCUGUCUUGGAUAUUCAAUGACUGCUUCCACAUCUCGCUAGGAUAGAGAAUUCUAAAAUGUCACUGACCCUCUGAGAAAGUAAAUAGAUGACCCCCUUAUUGUGAAACAGCGCUUCCAAGCUCUAGACACCUCCUCCUUCCCAUUGAGUAAUCAUCCUCUUGGCAUCGUACUGUGAAUCCCACUCACAAUCUUACUUGUAUCAAUAAUACCAUCCCAUAAUUUUGAAACACCAAUAAGUCCAAUCAGUGCACCUUUCUUCAUACAUCAAUCCAUUCAUUCCUUGUGAACCUUCUCUGCAUUGCUUCCAAUGCAUGCACACACUUCCUUAAAUGUGGAGCCCAAAGCUGAACACUGCUCCAGGUGUGUUGUCAAGAGUGUCCUUUAAAUUGGCAUCAACAUUUUGAUGUUUGCUCUCCAUGUCCUCAACAACAAGGCAAGCAGUUGCUUGAUCUUUCUAAUAACUUGCUAUUUCUACACACUGACCUUUUAUGUUUCAUGUACUUGUAACCUGUAGAUCCUUUUCCUCUGCAACAUUUAAAUAAAUACUUUCCCAUACUGUACUCUAUCUACCAACUCGUUGCCACUCAUAUAACCUACCCAUAUCCCUUUACAGGUUUGUUAUAUCUUUAUCACAACUUCCUAAUCCUUCCAAUUUUGGAUCAUCAGCAGAUUUGGCAACUGCAUACUUUAUCCAGGUUUUCAACAUGUUUUGUAAAUUGUUAAGGGCCUUAGCAGAUCCUUGUGGUAAGUCGUUACUGGCUCAUUGUUUUCUGCUAGUUAGUUGCUAGUCUAUCUACAGUAUGCCAAUAUAUUACCCCACCCUGUGUAUUGUUAACUCAAAGAAUGAAAUCAUAAAAUAGUUGGGGCAAUUAUCGGGAGAAAAUGACUUCCAGCACCAUCACAAAAGUAAUAAAAAAAGAUUCUGUAUAAUCAACAGAUUAAGUGCAGCAAUAUUUUUAAUAGGGAAUAGUUUCCUGGAAAUUCAGCAAAUGCAGAUGAGUCAAUUCACAUUGAAAUGCACCAAUGUAUUCAUUGAAUGCUUGAACAUGGCGUCUUUGUGAUGGAAAUAAUAUUCAAUUCUUCUCUGCCAUAGGUUAAAUGUAGCUACUCCUGAACACACAAAAUGUGUAAUGUUCACACUUGUUUAGUAAUUGAGUGGCUGUGCACUUAUCUCGCUUCUUUUUUUAACUUUGUAUAACAGAAAUAAAAUAAAGGAUCAAACUAAUCUACACCACAGAUGUAAAAUAUUUCCAGAGCUAUCUUUGGAGGAAAUUCUGUAAAUUCUUAUGAACUUUACCCAUUGGAACAACAAUUGGAACAUCAUCCUAUAUAAUAUAGCAUUGUCAAUUUACAUCUUUUCAUUAGGUCACUUGCUGGUGCUGUUUAAUAAAUGCACAUUGUAAAAAAAUUGACCUAAACUGUAGCACUUUUGACAUUCUGGGGAGCAUGUUGUAGACUUGUAUAACAUCCACCAAAAUUACUUUACCAGCACUGAUACUUAAUAAACAUACGAUUUGUUAUAUUCAAGUGAAA